rnacentral:lncRNA from 1 species
AUGAAGUUUGUUUGCGAUCAGGCUUUGAAGGAGCAGCAAUGCGAGCGAGAGCCUCCUGUUGACGUUGACGAUGACGAUGAAGACUUUGUUGGACUCGCUUGCCCUCCGCUGGACGACCUUGAAGCUGUCUUCAUCCUUGAGAGUGAAACCACGACUUUUGAUCCCUCCAACUUGUUUGACGACACCAAACUUGAUGAGCGCCACUUGGCAAUUCUCCAGAGGCCCAAGAAACCACCAUCUCACGGCAAAGGCAAGGAUUUGGAGACCCCUCCGCUUGAUGCUAAGCGACCACCUCCAUCUUCUUGUCAACAAAACCCUACGGGGCCAACAAAAUCUGAUGCUCAUCAUCAACGGCAAGACUGGGAUGAUGAAGACAAGUUGGAGAAUAGCAAGCGAAAGCUUCACCAAGGCUAUCAAGAGUUCCAAAACAAGAAAAAGAAAAUUCAACUUCUUGACGUCAAGAACUUGCCUUUGCCGUCUAAGCCUCAGCGAGGCCAGGUUUUGAGCAAGACCAGUUCGAGGAAAUGCCCAAAGCCUUCUGAUUUUUUGGAGAGCCAACAAAACCCUAAGGGGCCCACAAAAUCCACUUAUCAUGAUCUUCAUCAUCGGCGAGAUUGGGAUGAUGAAGAGAAGUUGGAGAACAGUAAGAAAAAGCUUCACCAAAGCUAUCAAGAGUUGCAAAACAAGAGAAAGAAAAUUCAAAUUCUGGAUAUUAAGAACUUGCCUAUGCCGCCAAAGCCGCAACGAGGUCGGGUUUUGAACAAGAACUAG